CAGUCGCCGCGGUAAAACGUAGGGUGCGAGCGUUAAUCGGAAUUACUGGGCGUAAAGCGUGCGCAGGCGGUUUUGUAAGACAGGCGUGAAAUCCCCGGGCUCAACCUGGGAAUGGCGCUUGUGACUGCAAAGCUAGAGUGCGGCAGAGGGGGAUGGAAUUCCGCGUGUAGCAGUGAAAUGCGUAGAUAUGCGGAGGAACACCGAUGGCGAAGGCAAUCCCCUGGGCCUGCACUGACGCUCAUGCACGAAAGCGUGGGGAGCAAACAGGAUUAGAUACCCCCGUAGUCCCUGUCCCUUAUAC
rnacentral:rRNA from 1 species